rnacentral:tRNA from 1 species
UGCAGUGUAGUUUAUAAAAAAUGCUUAUUUUACACGUAAGUGUAUCCUUUGUGGACUCUGUAA